UACAGAGGGUGCGAGCGUUAAUCGGAAUUACUGGGCGUAAAGCGCACGUAGUCGGCUUUGCAAGUCGGGUGUGAAAUCCCCGGGCUCAACCUGGGAACUGCAUCCGAGACUGCAUUGCUAGAGUAUGGGAGAGGGAAGCGGAAUUUCUGGUGUAGCAGUGAAAUUCGCAGAUAUCAGGAGGAACACCGGUGGCGAAGGCGGGACUCUGGGCCGAUACUGACGCUGAGGAGCGAAAGCGUGGGGAGCAAACAGG
rnacentral:rRNA from 1 species